AUUUGUUACACAAUGCAUCAGUGUGUUUGGCUAUUAACCAGAAGAUUGGUGGUUUGAUUCCACCCAGAGAUG